rnacentral:rRNA from 1 species
GGAGGGUGCGAGCGUUGUCCGGAAUCACUGGGCGUAAAGGGCGCGUAGGUGGCUCGUUAAGUGGUCGGUGAAAUCCCGGGGCUCAACUCCGGGGCUGCCGGUCAGACUGGCGGGCUAGAGCACGGUAGGGGCAGAUGGAAUUCCCGGUGUAGCGGUGGAAUGCGUAGAUAUCGGGAAGAACACCAGUGGCGAAGGCGUUCUGCUGGGCCGUUGCUGACACUGAGGCGCGACAGCGUGGGGAGCAAACAGGAUUAGAUACCCUGGUAGUCCACGCCGUAAACGAUGGGCACUAGGCGUCGGGGGGAGCGACCCUCCCGGUGCCGUCGCUAACGCAGUAAGUGCCCCGCCUGGGGAGUACGGCCGCAAGGCUG